rnacentral:rRNA from 1 species
UACAGAGGGUGCGAGCGUUGUCCGGAAUCACUGGGCGUAAAGGGCGCGUAGGCGGCCUUCUAAGUCAGACGUGAAAUCCCCCGGCUUAACCUGGGAACUGCGUCUGAUACUGGGAGGCUAGAGUGCGGGAGAGGGAUGCGGAAUUCCAGGUGUAGCGGUGAAAUGCGUAGAUAUCUGGAGGAACACCGGUGGCGAAGGCGGCAUCCUGGACCGACACUGACGCUGAGGCGCGAAAGCUAGGGUAGCAAACGGG